GACGAACGCUGGCGGCGUGCUUAACACAUGCAAGUCGAACGGAAAGGCCCUGCUUUUGUGGGGUGCUCGAGUGGCGAACGGGUGAGUAACACGUGAGUAACCUGCCCUUGACUUUGGGAUAACUUCAGGAAACGGGGGCUAAUACCGGAUAGGAGCUCCUGCUGCAUGGUGGGGGUUGGAAAGUCUCGGCGGUUGGGGUUGGACUCGCGGCUUAUCAGCUUGUUGGUGGGGUAGUGGCUUACCAAGGCUUGGACGGGUAGCCGGCCUGAGAGGGUGACCGGCCACAUUGGGACUGAGAGACGGCCCAGACUCCUACGGGAGGCAGCAGUGGGGAAUAUUGCACAAUGGGCGGAAGCCUGAUGCAGCAACGCCGCGUGCGGGAUGACGGCCUUCGGGUUGUAAACCGCUUUCGCCUGUGACGAAGCGUGAGUGACGGUAAUGGGUAAAGAAGCACCGGCUAACUACGUG
rnacentral:rRNA from 1 species